GUAUUUAAGUCACUCAAGUAACGUCUGCUCCAUAUAAUGUACUGGCAUGGCCCAAUAUCUCAGCCCUAUGCCUGGAACUGCCCCUUCUGUGCUUCCCAAUAGGUGUUUCCUUUGGGUGCCAUUUUGCUCAUCCAAAGAGAACUCUGGGAGAAUCCCAAUCACUGUAGUUGCAUUUAUCCUGUCCAUGCACUGCUGUCAGUGUCCUGUUCCCCCUUAACAUAUUUGUCCUAACUACCUUCCCCUUUACCCUCAAAACUCAAAUUGACCCUGUCUGAUUCUGCUCAACUCCAUCAUUAAGGAGGGCAUGCUAAUAUCAAGUAUCCACCAUAUGUCAUACAUUCCGCUGGGUUCCUAAUGUAACUUAUUUCCUUUAUAUUCACAGCAACCCUCUGAAAGAGGUAUUAUUUUCUUAACCUUAUGAAUAAAAGAAUUAAGACUCAAGGAGGUAAGUGACUUGCCAAAGACAACAUACGUAGAAAGACUGCCUGGGAUUCCUACUAUGACCUGUUUAACCCAAGGGUCCACACUUUCUCCAUUCUGCCAAACUCUCUCACUAACACGAGGACUAGACUUCGUAUAGAUUCACUAACCACACCCUAGACAACCAUGCCUCUGCACUCUCCAUGGCAGCGACUGACUUCCCUGUUAAUUCCUUUAGUUUUUUUUAUUCACUUACCUUGAGUCCAAGAAGUUAGAGAGGGCAUUGUAAAGAAAUGUUAGAUUCUAACUCCUGCUGGAAGCAAGAGAGUGGAAGUCGGCAGGACACUGAAAGGUCACUAGUUUGUGGCAGCUGCUGGUUUUGAAGCACUGGUUUACACUCCACUUUCCUUUCCUGUCAACUCAUCCCUGGUUCUUAAAGAGGUCAAGGUCCUACCAGGUAGAUAAUGCGUACAGUUUCUUUCUGUUAUGACAAUUAUGAAGAAAAGACUUCCCAUCUCAUGCUCACCACUAAAGCUUUGCCUUUGUUUCAUUCAGAUAUUCUGUAUGAAAUCUGGGGCCAAUUUUAAGGACAGAGAGAAACCAUGCAAAAGAAAGCAGGGGCUGCUGCUGACUUAGAGAUGGAGGAAAGGGGCCAUGAGCCUAGAAAUGCAAGGAGCCUCCAGAAGUGAAAAAGUCAAGGAAGUGAUUUUCCCUAGAGACUUCAGAAGGGGUAUAGCCCUUUAGAUACCUUCAUUUUAGUGCAGUAAAACCCAGUUUGGGUUUCUGAACUCCAGAACUGGACAGCAAAAAAAAAUCUGUGGGAUUUUUUGUAACUUGUUUAUGGUAAUUUGUUACAAAAGCAAUAGAAAACUAGUGUACUUAUCUUGUCUUUUUUCUUCCUGUAAAGAUUUUCCUUGUGUGCAGUCUUGAUACUUCUCAUCAUCCUACAGAGACAAAGCAUGAGCCAGCACUGACCAUAUUACAAUCCCGAGGGGAUAGAUCCCUACAGUAUAAGGAUGCAAAUUAAAAGGCAAACAGAAGGAGUGUUUGGCUUGGAUUAGUAAGAAGAGAAAAAAAAGAUGCAGCUUCCACAGUCACAACACCCUAGAAAUGUUUGGGUACCAAUGUAGCUUAAAAAAAAAAAAAGAAAAAAAACAA